UGUUACGUGAUCGUAUCGUAUGCGGUGU
rnacentral:sRNA from 1 species